UAGGGAAUAUUGCGCAAUGGGGGAAACCCUGACGCAGCGACGCCGCGUGUGGGAUGAAGGUCUUCGGAUUGUAAACCACUGUCGCGAGGGACGAAGCUCUGACGGUACCUCGAAAGGAAGCACCGGCUAACUCUGUGCCAGCAGCCGCGGUAAUACAGAGGGUGCGAGCGUUGUCCGGAAUCACUGGGCGUAAAGGGCGCGUAGGCGGCCCGGUAAGUAGGGGGUGAAAUCUCAUGGCUCAACUGUGAGGCUGCCUUCUAGACUGCCAGGCUUGAGCACAGUAGAGGCGAGUGGAAUUCCCGGUGUAGCGGUGGAAUGCGUAGAGAUCGGGAAGAACAUCGGUGGCGAAGGCGGCUCGCUGGGCUGUUGCUGACGCUGAGGCGCGAAAGCGUGGGGAGCAAACAGGAUUAGAUACCCCCGUAGUCCCUGAGCGGGCUGGCAAGGCGCAU
rnacentral:rRNA from 1 species